CCCUUAAAAGGGCGUAGAAAUCCGAGUUUAACACGGUUAGGCAUUCACCUGGCAGGUAGACUAAGAGCAGUGGUUAACUUGAGUUUAGUCCUUCUCGAUUUAUGCUAUUAUCUUUUUAGCAGAUUUAGUGUUCUGGAACAUCAACAUUUUUCUUAUAAACAUUGUGCGAAAGUAAAGCUCUGUCUGAAUUUUCACCCAAAGCUAUACAAAAGACUACCUGUACAUAGCCGUCCCAACUUUUGAAUUGGUAAACUGGAUGGAAGGCAACCAGUCAACAGCAUCCAUCGAUAACUUUUGAGCUACUCUUAUCUGACUGAAUAGCUGUAUUUGACUGUCAGUUGUAUUGAGCACCCAUAGACGGAUUAGUUAAUUAUUAUCUUACAUAUAUAGUGUAUGGGGUGAGGCUUUUUAAGAGUUGUUUACCUUGUAUGUACUAGAGAGAAAUAAAAUUACUUAAUGCUGUUGAAAGGAUUUCA